AGGAUGAACGCUGGCGGCGUGCUUAAGACAUGCAAGUCGAACGAAGCUCUUGUAGCAAUACGAGGGCUGAGUGGCGAAUGGGUGCGUAACACGUAGGUGACCUGCCCUGAAGCGGGGAAUAACAGUUCGAAAGGACUGCUAAUACCGCAUGUGGUUCCAGCCUUUUAGAAAACUGGAACGAAAGGUCGGCUUGCCGAUCACUUCGAGGGACGGGCCUGCCGGCCCAUCAGCUAGUUGAGGUAACGGCUACCAAGGCAACGACGGGUAGGGACCUCAGACGGGUCGACCCCCACACUCGGCACUGACACACGGCCAGACUCCUACGGGGAGCGAGCGAGUCGGGAAUAUUCGCCAAAUCGGACCGAAAGGCUGAGCAGCAACGCG
rnacentral:rRNA from 1 species